rnacentral:rRNA from 1 species
CGCUGGCGGCGUGCCUAAUACAUGCAAGUCGAACGGUCUUUCUAUGGAAGCUUGCUUCCACUGAGAAGAUAGUGGCGAACGGGUGAGUAACACGUGGGUAACCUGCCCAUAAGAGGGGGAUAACAUCCGGAAACGGGUGCUAAUACCGCAUAGUUUUCUUGAUUGCAUGAUUGAGAAAGGAAAGACGGCCUUUGUGCUGUCGCUUAUGGAUGGACCCGCGGCGUAUUAGUUAGUUGGUGAGGUAACGGCUCACCAAGACGAUGAUACGUAGCCGACCUGAGAGGGUGAUCGGCCACAUUGGGACUGAGACACGGCCCAAACUCCUACGGGAGGCAGCAGUAGGGAAUCUUCCGCAAUGGACGAAAGUCUGACGGAGCAACGCCGCGUGAGUGAAGAAAAGGUUUUCGGAUCGUAAAACUCUGUUGUCAGAGAAGAACAAGUUGGAGAGUAACUGCUCCAGCCUUGACGGUAUCUGACCAGAAAGCCACGGCUAACUACGUGCCAGCCGCUGC